CAAAGAAGAAAUACAACUAUUAUUGAAGUCAACUUGCUCUUCUGAAACAACACCCAACUCUUCUAAAACAGAAAUGGUGUGAAGAAUAUAAAGAAUGAAAAGAAGACAAGGAGUAGAGAAGAAGUAGAAGAGGAAGAAGAAAGGAAAGGGAGAUUUAAUAACAUGUUCUAAGCAAAAGAAUUCAGAGUUAUUUCACACGGUUCUUGGAGGCUUAGGACAAUUUGGAGUUAUAACAAGAGCAAGAAUUUCUCUUCACCCAGCACCCACAAAGGAUAACAAUGAAGAUUAAGCUGACUAUUAUUGUGGUUUAUUGGCUAAGAUAGAGUGCUAUUUAGGAUCUUUACAUGUAUGGUUGACUAAUGAUUUUUAUUAGAAGAUACCUUUAUUGGCCAAGUGAUAUUAUGGUUUUGAUAUGGCUAUGCUUACUUUAAUUUGAGUUGUAUGAAUUUUUACAGUUAAUUUCAUUCUAGUACUUUUGGAUCAAUGUUAUAAAUAUAUUUUGGUUUGAGACAA